AGGCAGCAGUGGGGAAUUUUGGGCAAUGGGCGAAAGCCUGACCCAGCAACGCCGCGUGAGGGAUGAAGUAUUUCGGUAUGUAAACCUCGAAAGAAUGGGAAGAAUAAAUGACGGUACCAUUUAUAAGCUCCGGCUAACUACGUGCCAGCAGCCGCGGUAAUACGUAGGGAGCAAGCGUUGUUCGGAUUUACUGGGCGUAAAGGGCGCGUAGGCGGCGCGGUAAGUCACUUGUGAAAUCUCUGAGCUUAACUCAGAACGGCCAAGUGAUACUGCUGUGCUAGAGUGCGGAAGAGGCAACCGGAAUUCUUGGUGUAGCGGUGAAAUGCGUAGAUAUCAAGAGGAACACCUGAGGCGAAGGCGGGUUGCUGGGCCGACACUGACGCUGAUGCGCGAAAGCCAGGGGAGCAAACAGGAUUAGAUACCCCGGUAG
rnacentral:rRNA from 1 species